rnacentral:SRP_RNA from 1 species
GCUGGGCGUGGUGGCACACGCCUGUAGUCCCAGCUACUUGGGAGGCUGAGGCAGGAGAAUUGCUUGAACCCGGGAGGCAGAGGUUGCAGUGAGCUGAGAUUGCACCACUGCACUCCCGCCUGGGUGACAGAGCAAGAUGCUGUCUCAA